AUGAAGGCCCUGUUUUGGAACAUUAGAGGGUUCUGCGCUAGGGGGCGCAGAGACCAACUGAAGGACUUAAUGCGCGCUGAAAGAAUUGAUUUUAUCGGGCUUGUUGAGACUCUUAAACCCUCCUUUUCUCCUUCUGAACUAUCGGCGAUUGCUGGGAUUGAUAGAUUUAGGUGGAAUUUCGUGGCCUCUGUUGGUCAGUCCGGCGGCUUUCUUCUGGGCACCAAUAAUGUCACCUUUGAUUUUGUGGCUUUCGACCAUGGUAUAUACUGGGCUAGUAUGGUAGUUUCCCUACGUUCCAAUAACACCCUCCUUGAACUUAUGGUAGUAUAUGGUCCGACUGAUCAUUCCUUGUCACAAAUUUUCUUGGAUGAGAUUUUUACUAAAAUUGAUGUCUGCCAACUGCCACUCCUGAUUGGGGGUGAUUUUAAUCUGCUUCGGUAUCCUUCUGAUAAGAGUUCUGUCAAUUUCUCCUGGGUGCUGGCCGAGGCUUUUAAUGCUUUCAUCAGGGACACGGCUAUCCGUGAGAUCCCGAGGGUUGGGGCCCGCUACACUUGGACCAACCGACGGACUUGUCCUAUUCGCUCGGUUCUUGAUAGAGUUUUUAUCUGCCCUGCUUGGGAUGGCCUUUUUCCUCGCUGCUCACUUCGGGCCCUCCCCAUCGCCGGGUCCGAUCACGCUCCUCUCAUCCUUGACGAUGGUCUCUGCCCCAAUGGCUGCCAAAGAUUUCAAUUUGACGCGUCCUGGCUUUUAGUGGAAGGGUUCCCUGAUAUGCUGGCUCAGAAGAUCUUGGCCUUUCUUACCUCCCCCCAUCGUUCAUUUGGCCCUAUGGAUGACUGGCAUUAUGUUUCUUACUCCCUACGCAAGUUCCUUAGAGGAUGGGCCAAGAACCACUUUGCUGAGUCGAGGCGCGACAAAUCUAGGUUGAGUGCUCAAAUUAGUGCCCUCGACUCCCGUGCGGACAACGGUGGGCUCUCGGCUACUGAGUGGCAAGUUCGCUAUGGCCUUGAGAAGGAGCUUCUGGCUAUUCAUCGCCAAGAGGAAGUGUAUUGGAAGCAAAGGGGUACGAUUAAUUGGACUCUUAAGGGUGAUUCUCCCACGGCUCACUUUUUCGCCAUUGCGAAUGGCAGACGGCGUAGAUGUUUGAUUAACAGCCUCAUUAUUGAUGGUGUUAGGGUCUCUGAACCACCGGUCAUUCUCCAUCAUGUAGUUCGGUUCUUCUCUAACCUGCUUUCGGCUAAACCAGACCUCGGAUUCGCGCUAGCCCCGGGCUUCUGGGCUCCCAUUGAUAGGAUGUCUCACGCUGAUAAUGAGCUUCUGUUGAUUCCCCCUUCUGAGGAGGAAAUUUUUGAUACUAUUCGGACGGCUAAUUCUAAUGCGGCUUCAGGCCCUGAUGGUUUCUCCAUUCCGUUCUUUCGACAAUUCUGGCCCCAACUAAAAGGUCUAAUUUCUGCUGUCAUCCAAGGGUAUUGGCUGGGAUCGGUUGACAUUUCUAGACUUAACUAUGCGGUUCUCUCCCUCAUCCCUAAGGUCAAGGGUGCGGAUAUGAUUUCUCAAUUUAGGCCGAUUGCUUUAAUCAACAACUUCGCAAAGAUGCCUGCAAAGGGCAUGGCCACUAGGCUAUCUCCCAUUGCACAUCGGACCAUUAGCCCUUUCCAGUUUGCUUUCAUCAAAGGGAGGUUCAUUUUGGACGGGGUACUUUGUUUACAUGAGAUUGUUCGUGACUUACGGGUGCGAGGGACCAAGGCUGUGGUUCUCAAACUUGACUUUGAAAAGGCCUACGACUCGGUUAGCUGGAAAUUCCUUCGGCAAGUUCUUUUGGCUAAGGGCUUUGAGGGGCCUGUUAUGCAGCGCUUGAUGCAAUUGGUUUCUGGGGGGCACACGGCUGUGGCUGUCAAUGGCCAAAUUAGCCAGUUUUUUGCUAAUGGCAGCGGCCUCAGGCAAGGGGAUCCAGCGUCCCCUUUACUCUUCAACUUUGUGGCUGAUGCUCUAUCUCGCAUUCUCUCUCGAGCUGCCUUGGCUGGUCAUAUCACUCCGGUGAGCUCUCAUCUCAUCCCUAAUGGCAUCUCUCAUCUCCAAUAUGCGGAUGAUACUAUAAUUCUGAUGGAACUUAAUGAUAAUAGCCUCACCAAUCUGAAAUUCCUUCUGCUUUGUUUCGAAGCGCUCUUAGGUCUUAAAAUCAAUUUCUCUAAGAGUGAGGUUGUAGUGACUGGGGUCUCGGACGAAGAGGCGCAGCGGGUGGCCCAUCUUCUGAACUGCUCUUUGGGAUCCUACCCUCUCAAAUAUCUAGGCCUCCCCAUUUCCCCGCUUAAACUUUUGGCUAAAGACUUUGCUCCGGUGGUUACCAAAGUUGGUAACAGAGUUCUCCCUUGGCGAGGGCGAUAUAAUACGCAAGCGGGCAAGGUCGCCCUUACUAACUCCUGUCUUUCUUCGCUACCUAUGUUCUUAAUGGGAUUCUAUCUUCUCUCUAGUGGGGUUCAUAAUGGUUUUGACAAGCAUAGGGGUGCUUUCUAUUGGAACGCAGCGGACAAUAAACGUAAGUACAGGAUGGUCAGAUGGGACAUUAUAUGUCGCCCCAAGGCCAAAGGGGGUCUGGGCAUUAUUAAUACGCGAGUGAUGAAUAAUUGUCUUAUGAUCAAAUGGUGGUGGAAGAUCAUGACUCUUGAGGAACUGCCACCCUGGCUCUCUAUCCUAAAAGCUAAAUAUUUCCCCUCCUCGAGUCCUAUGUUCGCGCCGGCUGCGGGUGGGUCGCAAUUUUGGCAUCAACUGGUUAAAGUCUGGCCGAUCUUUCGGUCCCUUGUAAAAUUUGUAGUUAGGAACGGUAAGUCUACGCGGUUUUGGCUUGAUUGGUGGGUCGGGGACUCCACGCUGGCUGUUGCUUUUCCGGUUCUAUUUUCAUAUUGCGAUGAUUCUGAGGUUUCUAUCUUUGAGCUCUCGGCUAGGGGUUGGGUUCUGGAUUUUCGUCGUUCUCUUUCUCCUGAAGAGUUGGAAGAUUGGCAGCGCCUUACUGCUUGCUUCCCCCUGCUCUCGGAGGAAGAGGAUGCCGUGGUGUGGCCCCUCUCCUCUUCGGGGCGUUUUUCGGUUAAAUCUGCUUACUCCAAGCUUAUCCCUGGGGGGCGCCCGGUCAAGUUUAAGCAUGUCUGGUUGGCUCGAAUUCCUCCUAAGAUCAAGAUAUUUCUCUGGCAAGCUGUCCGGAGUAAGCUUCCGGCGGCCGAUCAGAUUAAGAAAAGAAACGGGCCGGGGUCCGACAGGUGUGUGCUUUGUGGGGCACUGGACAACACCGAGCAUAUUUUCUUUCACUGCUCCUUAGCUAAACUUAUGUGGAGUUGCAUCAGACUCUGGUUACAUGUAAAUUGGUCCCCUUCCUCCUUUGAAGACCUGCGGCAUUAUGUCAAUCUUCUUUUUGGCCAUUCUAAAAGAGUCUUCUUAGUUGGAUGGGCUGCGAUUGGCUGGUCAUUGUGGACUACUAGGAAUAAGUUCUCGAUUGAACAUAUUUUUCCGGCUAAUCCUGUCAAUUGCUUAUUUAAAGCCAAUGGUUUCUUGCAGCAGUGGAGACUAUUGACUAAAGAAGGGGACCUCCAGGCCUUCGACGCCAUGUUAUCCAAGAUGAAAUCUACGACGUCUGGGCUUCUUCGGCUUUCUUUGAGGACGGCUUCCUGA
rnacentral:rRNA from 1 species